GGAACAGAUUCCGGUCAUCUAGUGGCAUUAGCUAGGCUAAUCCCCACUGUUGCAAGCUCUAGUCGCCCACUGGCGAGGUGAUGGUUGCAGCGACGAUGCUAUCAGUGAAGUUGUCGAAGUUGUUUUGGGCCUGAGGCUCGUCAGAGGUUGCGGGUGUCCUCGGUCAUAGGUUUGAGCACCUCACUGUCGUGUCGAAUAUCUCUAGUCACAUGUGGUCUCAUUGUCUGGGUUGGACCUCGCACUCGUCCACCUUAGUGGCAGCGGUCGGAGAUUCUGACCGGUAUGAAUGCUGCCUUGGUGUUUACCAAUGCUCUGCCCUGUCUCCUUGUCAGCAUAAUCUUCUAUUGAUGGAGACUGAUCCCCUCGUCUUCUCAAAUUGAAUUAGUAGUUAUCUUAGAGGGAGAUUAGAUCAUUCCCAAUGUUGCUGCCAUUGUAGAUUCCACUAGCUAUGGCCGUAAAACCUCAAAGAUCUCUUUGGCUCUAAAGAGAGGUUUAUCUAUCUGAAUGAAAGAAUGGAUGGUGGAGAAUAAUUAGGUUGCGGGCCAAGUUUAGGCUUGGUUUCGAUCUAGCUUUGGGCUUGAUUUGGGGCUCAGGCUUCAGGCCUAGUCCAGGCUCGGACUUUUGGUCGGGCUCGAGCGAGCCAAGUAUUAACCAAGCCUAGCCCAAAAUUUCUUCAGGUCCUAUUUUUAGGCCCAAGUCUGACCCGAACUACCUCAGACUUAGCCCGCGGUUCGACUCAAAGCCGGCCCAACUCGACAAGCCUCAUGCCACCCUAGGCCCACUUCAAUCCCUAAGGACAUAUAUAGAGAUGCUAAAGGACUAUGCUUAGCAUAAGGCCAUUUCACUUGGAAGUUUGAUAGUCUUAAAUAUGUGAUUUGCUCCUUCAUACAUGUCCUAAUGCUAGUUAUAUUGAUAGAACCAUGUGUAGGUUGUUUUUCCUUAAUUAGACACUAUUUUUUGUAACUGUCUUUAUGAAAACAAUUUUUUUAUAAAAUGUAAAUUUAUUUUUUCCAUAUGCUUUAUAAGAUAGUGAAUCGAAUUUUAGAAAACAAGCUAUCAUAAAGCCCUAAAAUUGGUUUUAUGAGAUACCAUAAGGGUCCAUGUUCUUCUUAAGAUUGGUUUCUUAUGUUCUAAAUUGCCUUGUUAAUAAUUAAAUCACCAUAAUUGAUCAUGUUCUCAUCUAAAAAAGUUCAAAUCUCUCUUGACCUCCCCCUCCUCCUCUACAAGUUUCCUCCAUGCCAUUUUCUCCUCUUCUGCAUCCACCUCCUCUCCUUCACUUCCUCCAGGCAUUCCCUCUUGUUUGAUCAUCUAGUCUAUCUACUUGUCCUUUUCCUUUCCCACUACCUCCCCUCUACUCCCCAAUUCCUUCGCUUCUUAAAAGAAAUGAUGACAUCUCUUAUCAACAUUUGGUGGACUUCGUUGAAGUGCUUUUCUAUAGUCGGAGUAUAUGGGCAUGCAACGCAGCAUCUAAACCUUG
rnacentral:lncRNA from 1 species